GAUGAACGCUGGCGGCGUGCCUAAUACAUGCAAGUCGAGCGAACGGACGAGAAGCUUGCUUUUCUGAUGUUAGCGGCGGACGGGUUAGUAACACGUGGAUAACCUACCUAUAAGACUGUGAUAACUUCGGGAAACCGGAGCUAAUACCGGAUAAUAUUUUGAACCGCAUGGUUCAAUAGUGAAAGACGGUCUUGCUGUCACUUAUAGAUGGAUCCGCGCUGCAUUAGCUAGUUGGUAAGGUAACGGCUUACCAAGGCAACGAUGCAUAGCCGACCUGAGAGGGUGAUCGGCCACACUGGAACUGAGACACGGUCCAGACUCCUACGGGAGGCAGCAGUAGGGAAUCUUCCGCAAUGGGCGAAAGCCUGACGGAGCAACGCCGCGUGAGUGAUGAAGGUCUUCGGAUCGUAAAACUCUGUUAUUAGGGAAGAACAUAUGUGUAAGUAACUAUGCACAUCUUGACGGUACCUAAUCAGAAAGCCACGGCUAACUACGUG
rnacentral:rRNA from 1 species